CCUACGGGAGACAGCAGUGGGGAAUAUUGCACAAUGGGGGAAACCCUGAUGCAGCAACGCCGCGUGAGUGAAGAAGUAUUUCGGUAUGUAAAGCUCUAUCAGCAGGGAAGAAGAUGACGGUACCUGAUUAAGAAGCCCCGGCUAACUACGUGCCAGCAGCCGCGGUAAUACGUAGGGGGCAAGCGUUAUCCGGAUUUAUUGGGUUUAAAGGGUGCGUAGGCGGAAUGCCAAGUCAGCGGGAAAAUCGCGGGGCUCAACCUCGCUCCGCCGUUGAAACUGGCGUUCUUGAGUGGGCGAGAAGUAUGCGGAAGGCGUGGUGUAGCGGUGAAAUGCAUAGAGAUCACGCAGAACUCCGAUUGCGAAGGCAGCAUACCGGCGCCCAACUGACGCUGAAGCACGAAAGCGUGGGUAUCGAACAGGAUUAGAUACCCCUGUAGUC
rnacentral:rRNA from 1 species